CCUACGGGCGACAGCAGUGAGGAAUAUUGGUCAAUGGACGCAAGUCUGAACCAGCCAUGCCGCGUGCAGGAAGACGGCUCUAUGAGUUGUAAACUGCUUUUGUACGAGGGUAAAUCCCGAUACGUGUAUCGGGUUGAAAGUAUCGUACGAAUAAGGAUCGGCUAACUCCGUGCCAGCAGCCGCGGUAAUACGGAGGAUUCAAGCGUUAUCCGGAUUUAUUGGGUUUAAAGGGUGCGUAGGCGGUUCGAUAAGUUAGAGGUGAAAUCCCGGGGCUCAACUCCGGCACUGCGUCGGAUACUGACGAGAUAGAGUGUAGUUGCGGUAAGGCGAAUGUAUGGUGGAGCGGUGAAAUGCAUAGAGAUCAUACAGAACAACGAGUGCGAAGGCAGCUUACCAAAAGACGAAUGCCGUUGAGGCACGAAAGCGUGGGGAGCAAACAGGAUCAGAGACCCAAGUAGUC
rnacentral:rRNA from 1 species